UNUACAACCUUGUAUUUGCCUAGAAAACCUC
rnacentral:piRNA from 1 species